rnacentral:lncRNA from 1 species
GCUGGUUCAAACACAGCUUCCUUGUAUAGUGAUUGAAAAUGAUUUAAAGGAAAAGAUUAUUUACUGAUUUUACUGUAUUAAGCUUUGGGGAUGGAUAAGUGACUGCUCACUUGUUUUUGGUAUGUGAUCCCACCAGAUGAGCAGGCUCUUAAUCACUUCUUUACUCAACUUGAAGACCUGAACAUGUUUUGACACACAGCUCUGCUGCUUGCUGCUGGCUUUGCUGUUUCUGUAACUGUUUUGUAGGUGCCUGCUUGAAUGCUGCUUGAUCGAUGGCAAGUCAUUUUAACAUGCACACAAACCGCAUCCGUAUCCAAACAAUACCCCAGUGAAGGCACAAGAGGGUAAUUAAGCAAUGCAAUAUGUAAAGGUGGCCUAAAGUAUAGCUUUUCAAAGUAUCAAAUUAUGCAACCUGGUAUCGAUAUUUUGGAGAAUUCACUCAUUUUUAAGGCACUUGCUUUUUUUUUUUUUCCCUCAUUCAGAGAGAAGUGCUCAAGUAAUCCUUGAAACAAAAGACUUCAAAGUGACAGCAGCCUGUGCCUCUGGCCAUUGUAAACCUUCAUACCAGGAGGUGCCUGAACGCCACAAGAAACUUCUGUCGCCUAAUGCAGAUCACAGUCUUGCCAAGAUAAUGGCAGAGGCAAGUAUCUGUCCUUGCUACAUAUUAAUUUUGUUAUGCCUUUGCG